GAUGAACGCUGGCGGCGUGCCUAAUACAUGCAAGUCGAGCGAAUGGAUUAAGAGCUUGCUCUUAUGAAGUUAGCGGCGGACGGGUGAGUAACACGUGGGUAACCUGCCCAUAAGACUGGGAUAACUCCGGGAAACCGGGGCUGAUACCGGAUAACAUUUUGAACCGCAUGGUUCGAAAUUGAAAGGCGGCUUCGGCUGUCACUUAUGGACGGACCCGCGUCGCAUUAGCUAGUUGGUGAGGUAACGGCUCACCAAGGCAACGAUGCGUAGCCGACCUGAGAGGGUGAUCGGCCACACUGGGACUGAGACACGGCCCAGACUCCUACGGGAGGCAGCAGUAGGGAAUCUUCCGCAAUGGACGAAAGUCUGACGGAGCAACGCCGCGUGAGUGAUGAAGGCUUUCGGGUCGUAAAACUCUGUUGUUAGGGAAGAACAAGUGCUAGUUGAAUAAGCUGGCACCAUGACGGUACCUAACCAGAAAGCCACGGCUAACUACGUGCCAGCCGCCGCAGUAA
rnacentral:rRNA from 1 species